CCUACUUAUUUUUCUUCUUUCCUCUUUACUUCUUCUUUCUUCUUUGUUCCUCUUCUGUCCGACGACAACAGAGAGAUCGAGAGAGUGAGAUUGAGAGAGAGAUCAGAGAGACCGAGAAAUCAAGGGAGGGAGAGAUUAAGAGAUCGGGAGAGACAGAGAUCGAGAGAGACCGAGAGAGAGAGAUGGAAGUAGAGAGGAAUCGGGAGAGAAGAACUGGAGAAGAUCCCACCGUCCGGAGGCGCCGAUUUCCGGUGGGUUCUAUGGAUCGUCGCUGGUGAGCCCAGAAAACCCAAGAGAAGCCUGAUCCUCCGGUGAAUCUUCGGUGGUCGGUCCUCAAUGAGCGAUUUUCCGGCGACUUUUCCGGCGAAAUCAAGGGUAAUUUCCGGUAGAUUUCUCUGUGUUUGAGCAGAGAUCCUCAAGAUGAUGAAUUGAGACUGCACAAAAGGGUUGCAAGUAUAAAAUACUUACUGAAGGUUCUGAAGAUUACAGAUUAAAUUGACUGCUAGCUUAAGAGAUCUAAAGCUAAUGUAGUUAGGUUCCAUUGCUUUCUGACUAAUAAUAUUUGUACUCUUUUGUAAAUAACAUGUUUUGAAAUUUACUUGUAUUUUGUAAACUUUUCAUGUACGCUUUUGUGUCAUUUGUAACAUAUGUUUCAUUAUAAUUAGUGCAAAGGAAAUUAAAGGACUUUUAAUGAAUGUCUAGAGGAAUUUGAGUCAGCUCAAUGUAUUAUAUUAUAAUUCCUAUGUCUUUAUAUAAAAAUUAUAUUCCGCUGGUAUUUUCUAACUCUGAUGACGUUGUAACGUUUCAUGUAAAAUCGAAAUUUUUACUUAUGCCUUUUUAUAAAAGGCAGGUCGUUACAACUUAGCCACCCCCAAAGGUGUGGCUGCCCACAGGCAACCACCCCUU